GCGCCCCCACAACGGCUUCCUGGCGUGGGUUGGCGUUAACCUUAUCGGAGCG
rfam:Paracoccus contaminans strain RKI 16-01929T=LMG 29738T=CCM 8701T=CIP 111112T, complete genome.